rnacentral:lncRNA from 1 species
UAAAUUUGGAUCGUCUAAUCAAUGUAUAGGAUGCAUCAUAUAGACUUCUCUUUUAAUUGUUUAGUUAAAUUACAGGGACAUAAUAAAAUAUAUAAUUGAUUGGGGAUUGAAUCAAGUUCAAUCAUGCUACUCUUAAAUUUUGAAGGGGAAGCGUUAGGAUUAGAUGAAGUUCAAUCAUGAUGGGGUCGUUUGAAUUUUGCAUUUGGGAAGAGAUUCGAGAGUAAUUUGGUAAAGUUCAGGUGAUUUGGGCAAAACUCUUAUUUGAUUUUAAAAAAUUGAUGUGUAUUUCAAAUCAUCAUUAGUGGGCCUGUGGAGAUCUGUGGUCCAAUUUGAAAUCGUCAUCAGCCCGGAGAUCUCGGCGAUUUGCACUUGAAAUGAUGGAUGUGUCCAAGAAAACAAAAAAUCUACGGUCAAUGCCAUCGUAUCCUAUUUUGCCAAUUCCGCCUUCUACAAACGAGGAUUUCGUAUCUUUCAAUUGAAGCUUUCUCGUUUCUGGUCUCUAGUGGGAUUUCGCGGGGCGUCUCGUACUUUCAAUCAAGAGAUUCUGCUUCCCACGAGGACAAUUUCGCAGCUGUCAAUGGAAACUUACCCGUUUCUGGUCUCUGAGUGGGAUUUCGUGGUGGCAUCUUGCAGCUUUCAAUCGGGACCUUCCGAUUCUUAUUUUUGAGUGGGAUUUCACAACGGCAGAUUCAUCUACGGUCGAAGUAAACAUUGAUUCUGCAAGUUUGAAGGUAUGUUCCGAGUUUAAUCAAUUCUAGAUGUGUUGUUUCCGGAAUUUUGCAUCUUUUCUCUGACGAAGGAGCUUUUUCGAAACUGCUAUUCUGAUUUGGACUAGGGUAAGCUGAUCUUAGCACUUUGCAUGCUAUUCUGAUUUGGACCAGGUUAAUUUCCUAUGCUGUUAAUGCAGAGCUUCGUGCCCAGUCUUUUUGUUUCAUUGUUACUUCACAUUGUUAGUCAACUGCCUGCAUCUACCUUAGUAUAUAUACACGUUCAUAGAGAGAUGUCCUUGAUGUGGAAAUGAUUGGGUGUUGGUUAGUACCACCAUUCCCUGGUUAUGUAUAAUGCAUAAGUUUCAAGUGUUGGUUAGUACCACCGUUUCCUGUGUCUGGGUGUUGGUUAGUACCAUCAUUUUUUAGUUUCAAGUGCUGCUAUUCACAAGUUUAUUUAAUUUACAGUAUGGCUCGAUUGGUGAGGGCUCAAUUGGUGAGGGUUCGAUUAGUGAGGCUGAGACUGUUGCAGCAAUUCUUGGUUUAUAUCUCCAAUUUUACAUAAUGUACUUCACAAUCUUGAUAAAAUUGAUCGUUGUGAUUGUCUAAAUUGUUAUGGACAUUAAACCACCAAAUGAGCCCUUGGAUAUAGAUUUUGAGCGAGUUAGAAGAAGGUUGGAAUUCAUUACUAAUGCAACUACCAAAUCAGAUGUCAAAAGUUUGAAUGCCAUAAGGAUGAAUUGCGAUUUUAUUUAAAAAGCUGUGCGAUCUCCUUGUGGAACGUGGAGGGCUUAAACCUUCCAAACACGUGGGCAUAAAGGAGAUGGUGUCAAUGUUCUUAUUCACUAUAGCACAUAACAAAAAAACCGAAUAUUGCAACUGCAUUUGGGUCGAUCUGGCCAGAUAAUUCAUACACAGCUGCAUAGGGUUCUUCUUGCCAUUCUUAAGCUACACCAUAUCUUGCUCAAGCAACCUAUUCCUGAAUCUGAAAACUCGACCGACAAGAACUGAAAAUACUUCAAGGUUAACAUCCUAACUCAACCUACUCCAUGUAUCCCUAUUAUUAUUCAACUAAUCUUGGGUUUUCAAUUCAUAGGACUGUUUAGAGCACUAGAUGGAACUCAUGUUAAGAUUCGGAUUAGAAGGGAAGACCAAACUAAAUAUCGGGAUCAGAAUGGUGAUAUCUCCAUGAAUGUAUUGGGUGUGUAACUCAAAAAUGAAAUUUAUCUGAUUGGAAAGGGUCGGCUCAUGAUAGGAGGCUGCUUCAAGAUGCCAUUUCGAGACCAAAUGGUCUAAAAGUCCCCAUAAGUAAGAACAACAUAAUCUAUAUAGGAUAACAUCUCUUAAGUUAUAAAAACAUCAUUAUGUUAAUGGCUUAAUCAUUAUGUCCAUUAGGAACCUACUACUUGUGUGACGGUGGAUAUAUGAACUCUGAAGGUUUCUUGACACCUUUUCGAAGGCGAUACCACCUUAAUGAGUGGCGUACGAACCGAUUAGACAGUCAAUUAUCAACGAUCUUAUGAAUUUGUUUGGAUUAGCUCAUCAGCAUGUAAUUAUCCAUGUUAUCAAUGUCAAGCCCAUUUUAUGAAUCUCCAUGGAUUAGUUUGAUGUUAUUUUUCUAGUGUUGGUGAUAAUUACAUUCAAAUAUUCAUUUGCAGGCUAUUAACGUUGGUGCAUUUCUCUUUCAUGACGAGAAUGUUAGAGAUCUACAGGUCUUCUAUAGGUUGAGUAGUAACGAUGAUCGCCUAUAUUUAGUUUUCAAGUUGCUGGAAGCAAUCAAUAAAGAGUUGUAGUAAUGAGUUUGUAGAAGGGGGAAUAUGGCUACGAAGUUGAUAUUUGGAAGGAUGAAUUGAAUUGUUGAUUGUUAUUUUGGGUUAUUUCAUAUGAAUAUUAUCUAUCGAGUUUGAACUAUUAGAUUCGAAUUUCUGAUACUGCAUGAAAAUUAUUCAAAGAAUGAUUCUAAACAAAAUGGGUCUUGUUCUGGAAAAAUAGAAUGGUUCUAGAAAAAGAUAUUGCCCGAGGGCAAUUUUGUAUUUUACAAAAUAGGUUUAUUUAACUUAAAAAAAGAGAGAAAUCACCGUUAAUUUUAAAAAUCAAAUAAGGAAUUUGUGAAAUCUCUAAUGAUUUAAAAGCACUAGAGGUCGUUUGUGCGGGUGAAUUUGUAGGAAGAGAAUUCAAAUAGCUAAAAAAUUCAAAUAGCUAGAGAAUAUGAGGGUCAUGCUAUUUCAAGAAAUAGAAUGUUUGGUUGUGUCAUUUUAAGUGAUUGUUGGUUUUAGAGAAUUAA